rnacentral:rRNA from 1 species
GACAGAGGCCUCGAGCGUUAGGCGGAAUCACUGGGCUUAAAGCGUGUGUAGGCGGACGUCUAAGUACCUUGUGAAAUCCCACGGCUCACCCGUGGAACCGCUGGGUAUACUGGAUAUCUUGGGCCAUUCAGGGGCAACUGGAACAAGCGGUGGAGCGGUGAAAUGCGUAGAUAUCGCUUGGAACGCCGACGGUGAAAACAGGUUGCUGGGAAUGCGCCGACGCUGAGACACGAAAGCCAGGGGAGCAAACGGG